AACAGGAUUAGAUACCCUGGUAGUCCACGCCGUAAACGAUGAGUGCUAGGUGUUGGGGGUUUCCGCCCUCUGUGCCGAAGGUAACCCAAUAAGCACUCCGCCUGGGGAGUACGACCGCAAGGUUGAAACUCAAAGGAAUUGACGGGGGCCCGCACAAGCGGUGGAGCAUGUGGUUUAAUUCGAAGCUACGCGAAGAACCUUACCAGGUCUUGACAUCUUGCGCUAACCUAAGAGAUUAGGCGUUCCCUUCGGGGACGCAAUGACAGGUGGUGCAUGGUCGUCGUCAGCUCGUGUCGUGAGAUGUUGGGUUAAGUCCCGCAACGAGCGCAACCCUUGUUACUAGUUGCCAGCAUUCAGUUGGGCACUCUAGUGAGACUGCCGGUGACAAACCGGAGGAAGGUGGGGAUGACGUCGGAUCAUCAUGCCCCUUAUGACCUGGGCUACACACGUGCUACAAUGGUCGGUACAACGAGUCGCUAACCCGCGAGGGCAAGCUAAUCUCUUAAAGCCGAUCUCAGUUCGGACUGUAGGCUGCAACUCGCCUACACGAAGUCGGAAUCGCUAGUAAUCGCGGAUCAGCAUGCCGCGGUGAAUACGUUCCCGGGCCUUGUACACACCGCCCGUCACACCAUGGAAGUUUGUAACGCCCAAAGUCGGUGGCCUAACCAUUUGGAGGGAGCCGCCUAAGGCGGGACAGAUGACUGGGGUGAAGUCGUAACAAGGUAACC
rnacentral:rRNA from 1 species